GUGAAUCAUCAAAUUUUUGAACGCAAAUUGCACUCUCUGGUAACCCGGGGAGUAUGCCUGUUUGAGGGUCAGUGUUAAUAAAAGUCGGUGCGUUUCAAUUUUUGUGAUGUUCCGGAGUUUGAGUGAUCUUCUGGGUUUUUAAGUGGCUGAAAUUUGACCUUUUUGUGCAUUUUAGACGUACAUAAAUUUUUUUUAUUCGAUUGUCUUAAUGCCAAAUCUAUUAGAUGCGACCAUAUCAAGUGGUGCCGUGUCUAUAAAUUUUUCAUGUUUUUACCUUUAAUUAGGGAGGAACAACUG
rnacentral:misc_RNA from 1 species